GACUUCGUAGCUCAGCUGGUAGAGAGCUUGCAGCUUUUGGGCAUAGUGUUUCUGUUGCUGGUUAGAAUCCAGCUGAAGUCC